GACUACAGGCGGCUGCAGUGAGGAAUAUUGGUCAAUGGGCGGAAGCCUGAACCAGCCAAGUAGCGUGCGGGAUGAAGGCCCUACGGGUCGUAAACCGCUUUUGCACGGGGAUAACACCCUCCACUUGUGGAGGUCUGCAGGUACCGUGCGAAUAAGGGCCGGCUAAUUCCGUGCCAGCAGCCGCGGUAAUACGGAAGGCCCGAGCGUUAUCCGGAUUCAUUGGGUUUCAAGGGUGCGCAGGCGGCGUUUCAAGUCAGCGGUAAAAUGUCGGGGCUCAACCCCGGCCGGCCGUUGAAACUGGCGGGCUCGAGUGGGAGAGAAGUAUGCGGAAGUCGUGGUGUAGCGGUGAAAUGCAUAGAUAUCACGAAGAACCCCGAUUGCGAAGGCAGCAUACCGGCUCCACACUGACGCUGAGGCACGAAAGCGUGGGUGUCGAACAGGAUUAGAUACCCCGGUAGUC
rnacentral:rRNA from 1 species